rnacentral:rRNA from 1 species
CGACACCGCCCGUCACACCAUGGGAGUUGAUUGCACCAGAAGUAGGUAGCCUAACCGCAAGGAGGGCGCUUACCACGGUGUGGUCAAUGACUGGGGUG